CCUCUUGGCUCCUGUGUGCCCUGGUCAAUGGGGAGAUCAAGCAGAGGCAGCUUUAGCGAGUGGUUAAUCUUUAACCAGGAAGGGAUUUGCCUAUCAGCUCGUUAAAACUAGCAGUGGUGUUGCAUCCAACUGAUCCAGCCACCACCCUGCCGACUUGAACGCCAUGUCCAUCGCAGCAAGGCUGGAAGAUCAUCGGUCUACAACUGUGGACACAUUGUUCGCUCCAAAGAAAAGCAAUGUUGCAGCGCGGAUUCGAACCCAAGAUUUUCCCUCAGCAAGAUCACACUCCCUGUCUGGCAGCAUGUCAGGACACGCCCCCACCGAUUGCAUCACGCCCUCACUUCGCCGCAGCUGCAGGCGGUUAGUCAUCAGCACACCUGGCAGUAAUCAGGAGGACAGCAUAAGAACCAGUCACUCCUUGGGACCUACGCCGGAACGUCGUUAACUCUUGUAUUGCCUCUCUCAAUCCUCGAUCACUCGUUUUGGACUUGGACAUUGUUGCUUGCCGCCUGCCUUCGACCACCUGCCUGUCCCCGGAUCUCCCUUGUGCCUACCCUCUUGGUCAGACAAACUUUUCAUCCAUCACGCAUGUACAACAUCCUCUUGAAUUAUUUACAUGGUUAAUUCUACACUUAAUCCUGCAACCAACACUUAGAGUAGCAUACACAUCCCACACAAUCAUCAAAGGUUACAAUAAACCUGGUAACCUUAA